AACGCACCUUGCGCCCUUUGGUAUUCCGAAGGGCAUGCCUGUUUGAGUGUCAUGAAAACCUCAAUCCCUCCGGUUUUUUAACGAACCGGUUGGACUUGGAUUUGGGUGUUGCCGCGGCUCGCGCCGUUCGGCUCGCCUUAAAAGUGUUAGUGAGACGGUGGAUAACCUGUCAGCCUGGCGUAAUAAGUUUCGCUGGGCCCUUGGGGUCUUCCUCUUCGGCUUGCUCAUAACAACCAACUUUCUAUGACUCUGACCUCAAAUCAGGUAGGGCUACCCGCUGAACUUAA
rnacentral:misc_RNA from 2 species